rnacentral:rRNA from 1 species
AACGAACGCUGGCGGCAGGCUUAACACAUGCAAGUCGAGCGAGACUCUUCGGAGUCUAGCGGCGGACGGGUGUGUAACACGUGGGCAACCUGCCUGUAAGACUGGGAUAACACCGGGACACCGGUGCUAAUACCGGAUCAUCCUUUUUCGCUCAUGAGGAAAAGCUGAAAGACGGUUUCGGCUGACACUUACAGAUGGGCCCGCGGCGCAUUAGCCAGUUGGUGAGGUAACGGCUCACCAAGGCGACGAUGCGUAGCCGACCUGAGAGGGUGGUCGGCCACACUGGGACUGAGACACGGCCCAGACUCCUACGGGAGGCAGCAGUAGGGAAUCUUCCACAAUGGACGAAAGUCUGAUGGAGCAACGCCGCGUGAGCGAUGAAGGCCCUCGGGUCGUAAAGCUCUGUUGUUAGGGAAGAACAAGUACCGGAGUAACUGCCGGUACCUUGACGGUACCUAACCAGAAAGCCACGGCUAACUACGUGCCAGCAGCCGCCGUAACAC